UUAAAUUGAAGAGUUUGAUCAUGGCUCAGAUUGAACGCUGGCGGCAGGCCUAACACAUGCAAGUCGAACGGUAACAGGGAUCAGCUUGCUGAUUUGUUGACGAGUGGCGGACGGGUGAGUAAUGUCUGGGAAACUGCCUGAUGGAGGGGGAUAACUACUGGAAACGGUAGCUAAUACCGCAUAACGUCGCAAGACCAAAGAGGGGGACCUUCGGGCCUCUUGCCAUCGGAUGUGCCCAGAUGGGAUUAGCUAGUAGGUGGGGUAACGGCUCACCUAGGCGACGAUCCCUAGCUGGUCUGAGAGGAUGACCAGCCACACUGGAACUGAGACACGGUCCAGACUCCUAC
rnacentral:rRNA from 1 species